rnacentral:tRNA from 1 species
ACUUAAAUAGCUUAUUAAGAGCAUAAUAUUGAAGAUAUUAAGGAGAUAAUAUUAUCUUUAAGUA